GUCCUCAGCUCCUCCCUUUCUCACCACCCACCCCCAAACCUGCUAACCUUUCCUGAAUGGCCUCAGUGACCUGCCUCUCCCUCCAGGGCUCUGCAGGUCCCAGCAGCAGAGACAGGAAUCGCCGGACCCCGGGGCCUCCGGGAGCCACGUGUGCCAGCGCAGCGCCUGCCAGCUCCCAGGCUGACCUCACAAUGGCUCCUUUCACCAGGAGAGGAGCUGGCCCGGCCCGGAGCCUGCGGGGGGAUGUCCCAGGCCCCAGGGCGUGGGGUGGGAGGUUGGAAACUGGGGAAUGGGCUGCUGAGGCUGGGAGAGCUGAAGGAUCUCAGCGCCACAUCCACCACCCGAUGUCAAGGGACUGCUUCAGGCGUAGUCUUAUGACCCAAACCAGUCCAGGGAGUUCCAUUUCCAGAUCCUGUGUUUAAACAUUUGGAGAAAUGAAUGUUUCCUCCUACUGGGCUUGGAACUGGGAGAGUGUCAGCCUGGAGCUGCCCGAAUUUGGAAAGGGCCUGCUCCAGAGUGAAGCCAACACAGGGAAAAGCAGAGAGAUGGAGGACCAAAUCCUGAUGGCAUCAUUUGAAAUCCUAGAUCCAGCUGUACCUGAAGCAGAUAAACUAAAUUUUGCAGUUUCUUGAGUCAA